UACUAAAGGAUAACAGCAUUCCACUGGUCUU
rnacentral:tRNA from 1 species